rnacentral:rRNA from 1 species
CCCGCUCAGAAACUCAAAGGAAUUGACGGGGCCCGCACAAGCGGUGGAGCAUGUGGUUUAAUUCGAUGCAACGCGAAGAACCUUACCUGGUCUUGACAUCCCGGAGACCCUUAGGAAACUAGGGGGUGCUUCCAUCUGGAAGAAUCUGGAGACAGGUGCUGCAUGGCUGUCGUCAGCUCGUGUCGUGAGAUGUUGGGUUAAGUCCCGCAACGAGCGCAACCCUUGCCUUUAGUUGCCAGCAGUUCGGCUGGGCACUCUAAAGGGACUGCCGGUGUUAAACCGGAGGAAGGUGGGGAUGACGUCAAGUCCUCAUGGCCUUUAUGACCAGGGCUACACACGUACUACAAUGGCCGAUACAAAGGGCAGCGACACUGCGAGGUGAAGCCAAUCCCGUAAAAUCGGUCUCAGUCCGGAUUGGAGUCUGCAACUCGACUCCAUGAAGUUGGAAUCGCUAGUAAUCGUGGAUCAGCAUGCCACGGUGAAUACGUUCCCGGGCCUU